rnacentral:rRNA from 3 species
GGGGAAUUUUCCGCAAUGGGCGAAAGCCUGACGGAGCAAUACCGCGUGAGGGAGGAAGGCUCUUGGGUCGUAAACCUCUUUUCUCAGGGAAGAACACAAUGACGGUACCUGAGGAAUAAGCAUCGGCUAACUCCGUGCCAGCAGCCGCGGUAAUACGGAGGAUGCAAGCGUUAUCCGGAAUGAUUGGGCGUAAAGCGUCCGCAGGUGGCUGUGUAAGUCUGCUGUUAAAGAGUCUAGCUCAACUAGAUACAAGCAGUGGAAACUACACGGCUAGAGUACGUUCGGGGCAGAGGGAAUUCCUGGUGUAGCGGUGAAAUGCGUAGAGAUCAGGAAGAACACCAGUGGCGAAGGCGCUCUGCUAGGCCGUAACUGACACUGAGGGACGAAAGCUAGGGGAGCGAAUGGGAUUAGAUACCCCAGUAGUCCUAGCCGUAAACGAUGGAUACUAGGCGUGGCUUGUAUCGACCCGAGCCGUGCCGUAGCUAACGCGUUAAGUAUCCCGCCUGGGGAGUACGCCGGCAACGGUGAAACUCAAAGGAAUUGACGGGGGCCCGCACAAGCGGUGGAGUAUGUGGUUUAAUUCGAUGCAACGCGAAGAACCUUACCAAGGCUUGACAUGUCGCGAAUCUUGAUGAAAGUUGAGAGUGCCUUCGGGAGCGCGAACACAGGUGGUGCAUGGCUGUCGUCAGCUCGUGUCGUGAGAUGUUGGGUUAAGUCCCGCAACGAGCGCAACCCUCGUUUUUAGUUGCCAGCAUUAAGUUGGGCACUCUAGAGAGACUGCCGGUGACAAACCGGAGGAAGGUGGGGAUGACGUCAAGUCAGCAUGCCCCUUACGCCUUGGGCUACACACGUACUACAAUGCUCCGGACAGAGGGCAGCAAGCAUGCGAAUGCAAGCAAAUCCCGUAAACCGGAGCUCAGUUCAGAUCGCAGGCUGCAACUCGCCUGCGUGAAGGAGGAAUCGCUAGUAAUUGCAGGUCAGCAUACUGCAGUGAAUUCGUUCCCGGGCCUUGUACACACCGCCCGUCACACCAUGGAAGCUGGUAGUGCCCGAAGUCAUUACUCCAACCUUUCGGGGGGGAGGAUGCCUAAGGCAGGACUGGUGACUGGGGUGAAGUCGUAACAAGGUAGCCGUACCGGAAGGUGUGGCUGGAUCACCUCCUU